rnacentral:rRNA from 1 species
AGUGAACGCUGGCGGUAGGCCUAACACAUGCAAGUCGAACGGCAGCACAGGAGAGCUUGCUCUCUGGGUGGCGAGUGGCGGACGGGUGAGGAAUACAUCGGAAUCUACUUUUUCGUGGGGGAUAACGUAGGGAAACUUACGCUAAUACCGCAUACGACCUACGGGUGAAAGCAGGGGAUCUUCGGACCUUGCGCGAUUGAAUGAGCCGAUGUCGGAUUAGCUAGUUGGGGGGGUAAAGGCCCACCAAGGCGACGAUCCGUAGCUGGUCUGAGAGGAUGAUCAGCCACACUGGAACUGAGACACGGUCCAGACUCCUACGGGAGGCAGCAGUGGGGAAUAUUGGACAAUGGGCGCAAGCCUGAUCCAGCCAUACCGCGUGGGUGAAGAAGGCCUUCGGGUUGUAAAGCCCUUUUGUUGGGAAAGAAAUCCAGCUGGUUAAUACCCGGUUGGGAUGACGGUACCCAAAGAAUAAGCACCGGCUAACUUCAUGCCAGCAGCCGCCGUAA